rnacentral:tRNA from 1 species
UAUAUUUUAGUGUAUGAUGCACGGGAAUUUUUGAUAUUUCAAGAAAUAGUUUGAUUCUGUUAAAUAUAA